CCAAGGAGUUUAACAUGUGCGCGAGUCACUCAGUCUUGAAUAGGCUUGAGAGGCGCAAUGAAAGUAAAGUUGAUUGAGUUACGAUCCUCACGCCAGUUAUCGCUCAGUCGGUAACGGUGGGGCGCAGUAACAGCCCACCAAUUUCGCUUAUUGACGAUGUGGUGGAGUUGUAGCGUACACGUUGAGACCCGAAAGAUGGUGAACUAUGCCUGGGCAAGACGAAGCCAGAGGAAACUCUGGUGGAGGUCUGUAGCGGUUCUGACGUGCAAAUCGAUCGUCAGACCUGGGUAUAGGGGCGAAAGACUAAUCGAACCAUC
rnacentral:rRNA from 1 species